UUUCAUGUCUGACCGGCUUAGACAUGAUAUUUCUGAAACGUCAUACUCUCUAUAAAUACAAAGUUGUAAAACACUGAAUAUGAAAAGACAUAAAGGGUUGGGCUUGUCAUGGGCAUGCGGCCAUGGGCAACACGCCUUGGACGAGCAUGACCGUGACACUCAUCAUCGGUGUCAGAAUCGUCGGCACUUUCUUCUCAAGCUAUGGUCUUCCACUUUCUCCUUCCUAAGUUCCAACUCCCUUUGACGCGGUACUCUGAUCACCAAUGAUCCAAUUGCACUGUCAACCAUUGGCUCGUCGGAAUUGUUGACCAGAAAAUUUCCCCCCUCUUCCAAACCAGUCGACAGUGUUUCCUCCUCUGAUCUUACCAUCAAUUUGUUCUGCAGCCCUUGGGAUUGAAUCUUUAACCCAUCAACGGAGAGACUUUGUAAUCUUCAAUCUCUGGUGGCUAUUUUCUAUUACCGCAGCAGCUGUUAUCCCCAUUCAAUUCUCUCCCACAUGGGGCGGUGAAUGUGUUAUAAUCCAAUCUGGACAGAUGCCUAGUUUGGUCUGUUUUUAAACGAGGUUCAUUUGUUCCAAAUCAGAACGAGGAACAACUUCGUUCAUUCAUUCUAGAUCUGGAACGAGGGGCGUCCCUUGUCUUAGAUAGCCUUGUUUACUAUGAAGCGUUCCAGAUCAUUAAUUCCUCAUUCAAGUGGUUUGUUCCAUUUUGAUUGCUUUGGAAGUAGCAGCAAUAAGAGAGUUUGCAGAUAGGAGAAGGAAAAAGGGAGAGAGGUCGGAAGAAGACGUGCUUCAUAUUUUCUGGGAUUCUUAAUUUAUACUUUUCAAGAUCAUGUCUGAAAGCAAUAGCUCUUCUCAAAGUGAGCUUGAAGAGUUUGGCCGUUCAAAGCGGCAUAAGAAGAAUGGUAGAACGAAAACGGUAGAUGUUUUUACACAACAUUUCUUUUCCUAUUUGGCUUUGUAGUUUCACUUGUGGAUUUCUCCUUGUUAUUGUUACUAUUUGUGCAUCGAUAAGAAGAGGGAGCGAAGUUAGAAACAUCACCAUGAAAGGCGUAAGCAUAAGGCUAAAGAGGUAGACCACUAUUGUGCUUGUGUACUAUUUUUCCCUUUGUUGCUGAUAAUGUUGUAAUUUCGAUGAAUUGAGAAAUGCCAUGGAAAUAACCUCUAUGUAUGUUAGAUUUAUGGAUACAUGAAUUUGUGGGAUGCAUGUACAUGUGAGAUCCAUGUACUUAGUUAAUAAUUGAAGAGUCAUGAGAGUCAGAUUCAUUUGGUUGAUACAUGUAUUAGAUUAUUCAUGUAUCACCAUAAUGAUAAUACAUGUAUUAUAUAGACUUGUUAUUUAAUAUUUGGUACAUGUAUGACUAUGGAGGAUAUUUCAAAAGGCUUGACAACUUUAAAAUAGAAUACAUCUCUUCCUCAUAAUUGUCCAUAAAACUGGUAUUAGAGCCAAGUUAACUAUGACUUCAUCUAGUUCAAUUCAUACCCAUGUCCCCUUAACAAAACAGAUUAUGGUUAAUAGAGUAUCCAAAUAGAAGCCUGGUUGGGACCUAUUGGAGCAUGGGACCAAUUAUAGUAAAUAGAAUGGAGGCCUUGUUGGGAUCUAUGAGAGCAUGGGACACAGUGGUGUAUGAGUUCAAGGAGGAGGAGAUGAAGAAGGAGAAGAAGGCGUUAUUCACAAUCCACCAAAGAGUAGAUGGCACCACGUUUGAGUUGAUCGUCCAUGCAAAAUCUUCUGAGAAUGCUUGGGAGGUCUGGAGAAAGACUUUGAUGGUUUAGAUAGAGUGAAGAAAAUCUGCUUGCAAUAUUUACCCGUAGAUUUUGAGGCUCUACAUCAAGAAGAUUCAACAUCAAUAUGUGUUUACUUCCAUUGUGUAAACUCCAUUGUGUAAGAAAUGAGAAGACAUGACGAGAAGGUAGAAGAAGUACGAGUUGUGGAGAAGAUUAUGUGAUUUUUACACUCAAGGUUUGACUACAUUGCUGUGGAAGUUGAAGAAUCUAAUAAACUUGAAGAAAUAUUAGUAGAGGAGCUUCAAGACUCUAUACAAGUCUAUGAAGAAAGAGGCUUAGAGAAAGAAGAAAGAAGACGUAUGGAGCAAGCACUGCAAGCCAACUCUUCCCAAAAGAUGGAUGGCUAGCCAACUCUUCCCAAAAGAAGGAUGGCUUCUCGAAAGGAGGCUACCUUGAGUAAGGGUAGCCUUGGUGGUCAAAAUGGAGGACGAGGUGGUUGCAAUAAGUAAUCUAAUUUAUGAAAUAGCAAUCACAUUGAUGAUAGUAAAGGGAAUAGUCAUAGGAGCAAUGAGGCGUGUGCUUGAGGUCUGGUCGUGGAUGGGUCCUUGUCGACCAUGUCCAUGACUGCGGCCUCGGCUAGGCACCUCAUAGCUUCCACGACCAUUCCCUUUACUAUCAUCGGUAUGGUUGCUGCUUUGUUCAUUAGAGUGGUUAUCGUGACCAUCUCGUUCUUCCUUUUGGCCACCACGUUUACCUCUUCAUAAACUUGUAGAGGGCCUUGAGGCUCCUUCGCUGAUAUCUUCUCAAGAGUAUGAGAUUCUUUAAUUGUCACGACAAUAGAGUCAACUUUGAGUGUAAAGAUUCCAGGAUUUUCUCCACAAAUUGUACUUCUACCUUCUCCCCAUGUCUCCAUUUAUUACCCUAGUUUAUAUAGUAGAAGUAAUCACAAAUUGAUUCCGAACCUUUUUGUUGUAGGGCUUCGAAAUCUGCUAGCAAGGCUUUCUCCAAUACCUCUUAAGCUUUCUUGUGCAUAGUGCCUUCUUCUCCUUCUUCAUCUCCUCCUUGAAUCCAUUCAUCAUCGCGUCCCAUGCUCCCGAAGAUCCCAACAAGGCCUCCAUUUGGAUACUCUAUUUACCAUAAUUAACUUGAUGAAGUCAUAUUUAACUUAGCUUUGAUACCAAUUUUGUUAUCUUUUAUAGGUUUUUUGGAACAUCCUCCAUGCCAUACAUAUACCAAAUACUAAAUAACGAAUUUACCUAAUACUUGUACUAUCGUUAUAGUGAUAUAUGAAUAAUCUAAUACAUGUAUCAAUCAAAUGAAUCUAACGCCCAUGACUUUUCAAUUAUUAACCAAGUACAUGGAUCUCUAAUGUACAUAUAUCUCCCCAAUUUAUGUAUCCAUAAAUACAUGAAACAAGUUUAAUAUCUUACUGCUUUUACUCGUAUUUACAUCCUUUUGAUUAUUACUUCAGAACCCUUUUGAUUUAUUACUUCAGAACCCUUUUGAUUUAUUACUUCAGAACAUAUUGUGAUUGGAGAUCUAGCUUCUAACACAUGCAUCCAAUGUCUUAGAUUUUUGCUUCAAUGUAUUUUUAGUCUUUGGUAGGCCUGAUUUAUCCCAACGCAAUAGUGUAAGACAUGUACCUUUGUAUAUUUUAAGAAUGGGCAUCAAGAUAAUAUUAGUUUUCUAAUCAUUACUUGAGGCAUAAAGACUCCAAGCAUCAUGUAUAAAAGUUCUAAACCACUUAUAAUCUAAAGAAGGCGUAAGCUUUGAGGCUAAAAAAUUUGAGCCAUUCUAAGACAAGCCCUUUAGACUGAGGCUGAAAGUAUCGAUCUAUUUGCCAAAUGAUCUUAUUGUUUCUAGUCCUGCAAUCUUUAGAAUGCAUCUAUAGUUGGUUUUGUUUUUGGAGUGGUUUCUGAAUUGGAUAUAAUAUGAGAUGUUUCUGUGAUCAUUUACUGAUUGAUUCUUUGAAAUUGGAGUUGGGGUCCGUGUCAUGAUGAUCGGGCUGUUCCAAGGAACCAUAAGAGAAGUAUAGAAACAGCCAGAAGAGAGUAGUAGCCCUGUGCAGCUUUCCAAGUUUUUAUCGCGGGAGAAGGAUGAUGGUACUCGGCGGAGUGCUGUCUCUGGCAAAAAGAUUUUGUUGAAACUUGACAAAUCAAAGGAAGACAAAGCAGAGGAAAACAGAAGAAAUGAAUUGCUGAAAUUCUUGAACUCUAGCUUUGACUAAUGGCUGUGUAUUAAGAAUGGAGGAAAGAGGCAUUAUUAGCUGCUGCAUGGAAAAAUUUCAGUUCAAUCAACAGUUGUGUGACAUUCAAGCCUGUGAACUUUCUUCUCCCUUUGAUGCUUUGAUGUUUGAUGCUUUGAUGCAUAUGGAUCAAGAUCUUGUUUUAAUUCCUUAUGGACAGGAAUUGAAAUUGAAAUGGAAAUGGAAAAUGACUUACUUUGUUUGAUGGGAUGGAAUGGGAUGAUGAAUGAUUGAUUGUUAGUUCUUAUGAUCCGAUUGUGUAAAACGCUCAAGCGCUGCCUCCUUGCCAAGGCAUUGUUUUUACAAUGUUCACUAAAAAAGUUUCAUGACAAUCUCUCCAUUGCCCUCCUUCCACGCCGUGUUGCAGCUGAGAGACCACUUAUGGCAGGAGGAGGGUCGAUCUCGUAGGGUUGAGAUCGAACCAACUGAUAGUCGACAAGUGAUACUAACAUCCAGUGACUAUCACGGUCAUGUUUAUCCAAGACGUGUUGUCCAAGUUGCACGUCCAUUACAUGCCAAAACUCUUGCCUAGUAACUUUAUCGCUUUCCUUUAUUGCUUUCAUGGUGUAUGAUUUUCUUGUCUUUUUUUAAGUGAUGUCUUGGCAGAAACUUGUCUAGGCACGGUAGACAUGAAAUGCUCUACAAUGUACUGUAGGGGGACGCGACUAGUCAUCAACUUCUC